rnacentral:rRNA from 1 species
GUGUCAGCAGCCGCGGUAAUACGGGGGGGGCAAGCGUUGUUCGGAAUUACUGGGCGUAAAGGGCGCGUAGGCGGCUCGCUAAGUCGGGUGUGAAAACUCUGGGCUCAACCCAGAGCCUGCAUUCGAAACUGACGAGCUAGAGUUUUGGAGGGGAAAGCGGAAUUCCUGGUGUAGCAGUGAAAUGCGUAGAUAUCAGGAGGAACACCGGUGGCGAAGGCGGCUUUCUGGACAAAAACUGACGCUGAGGCGCGAAAGCUAGGGGAGCAAACAGGAUUAGAUACCCCGGUAGUCC